ensembl:miRNA
GACUUGGUCAAAGCUCCUCAGUGAUGAGUAGAAACCUGAGAAGUUUGGAACAAGUAAA